CCCGUAGCAACAUCAGCGGCAAGAGUCCGAGCAGCAACAUGGUAAACGAGGGAUGAGCUAACGGGAGACAGGAAAGAAAGAGUGAGUCAGAGUGCGAAGGACAUGAAUGUUGCCCCGAUUUGCAGUCUGGAAAAGCCGGUUUUACAGAAAACUGCACAGUGUAUGAUGGGCACAGAACAGCUCUAAAAGUCUCCAGAGGACAGACCCAGUGGUGCAGUGCUGUUUAGAAGGGGACACGGAAAAAGACGGAGCGGGAGCAGGAUUUGUCUGCAAGUGAAAUGUCAAGCAGGUUGAGGAAUCAGAAUGAGACCAAAAAUAUUAAGAGAGAAGGCUGCAGAGAAGAAGACAUACUAGUUGAGGAGUUAAAGAGCCAUGCACUGACAGUGCAGUGGUGAGGGAACUCCACUGGAGACCAGAGAAGUGCAAGACAUGGGUCACCUUUAAUUAAACUCUAUUCAAGCGACUGACACCCACAGGAACCUGCUAAACACUAUAACAAAUGACCGUUAUCACUCUGAAGAUGCAAAUGCAGAAAACUGAGCUAAACAGACAUAUCAAGACUUUCAGACAUACGUUUUUGCUGCCUUCAAGUGCACAUGCGAAAUGUUUACUUCUGAGUUGGGCAUUUGUUAUGACAUGAAGCUUUGAAGGUUUAUAUUUAUUUUAUUUUUUUAUUUAUUAUUUAUUGUAUAUUUUUAUUUGACAUCAUUUUCGUUUAUGCAUGGUAUCUAACAAAAAACCUUUCACAUAAAACGUGACUGGUUAACUUUGUGUUUGUUGUCUAUACACUCUUUUGUACAUAAUGCAUUAAUAUUAUUUUUGAAAUACAGCACGGAAAUUAAUAAAAAAUGAACAGUGUAGUCCGAUUACUGAACGAAUGACUCUAACAAGUUGAUUGUUUCAAUUGACUCAAAUGAGUGUAGUUACUAAGAUGCACAUUUUAUAAAAUAUAAAUAAAUAAAUAAAAGAUGUUACUAAUUUUUUUUGUUUAUAGUGGUUAAUUGGAUUGGCACCUCUAAAAACGUAAUUAAAAAGUUUUAAAGGCACAAUAUGUAAGAAUUUUGCCGUAAAAUAUCCAAAAACCACUUGGCCAGUGUUAUAUAUUUUGUUCAGCUGAGUACUUACAAUAUCCCAAAUGUUUCCAACUAUUUGUAAAUCAUGAGAAAAAUCACGAUUUUAACCAAGACGUGUCCGGGAGCUGCCUGUCAAUGGCGUCGUACCCGUGGUUACCUUCUGAUUCUGGUUUUCCGAGAGUAGGGCUGUGACGGUAGGCAACCGCGGCACCGCGGUGGUGAAGUUGACACCGCGGUCGUGGAGUGUCACCGGCGGUAGUGUGACAUUAUUUAUAUUAUAUUAUAUUAUAUUAUAUUAUAUAAAAUCUGAUUUGCUUAUCCUGUAAGUUUGUGAAUAAAAAUGAA